AACGAACGCUGGCGGCAUGCCUAACACAUGCAAGUCGAACGAGACCUUCGGGUAUCGUGGCGCACGGGUGCGUAACGCGUGAGAACCUGCCCUUAGGUUCGGAAUAACUCCCCGAAAGGGGUGCUAAUACCGGAUAAGGUCUUCAGACCAAAGAUUUAUCGCCUUUGGAUGGGCCCGCGUUGGAUUAGCUAGUUGGUAGGGUAAACGCCUACCAAGGCGACGAUCCAUAGCUGGUCUGAGAGGAUGAUCAGCCACACUGGGACUGAGACACGGCCCAGACUCCUACGCGAGGGAGCAGUGGGGAAUAUUGGACAGUGGGGGAAAGCAUGAUGCAGCAAUGCCGGGUGAGUGAUGACGGCCGUAGGGUUGUAAAGCUCUUUUACCCGGGAGGAUAAUGACAGUACCGGGAGAAUAAGCUCCGGCUAACUCCGUG
rnacentral:rRNA from 1 species